GGAGAUGGGAGGGUCGGUAAAG
rnacentral:miRNA from 1 species